rnacentral:rRNA from 1 species
UACGUAGGGUGCGAGCGUUGUCCGGAAUUAUUGGGCGUAAAGAGCUUGUAGGCGGUUUGUCGCGUCUGCUGUGAAAUCUCAAGGCUCAACCUUGAGCUUGCAGUGGGUACGGGCAGACUAGAGUGUGGUAGGGGAGACUGGAAUUCCUGGUGUAGCGGUGAAAUGCGCAGAUAUCAGGAGGAACACCGAUGGCGAAGGCAGGUCUCUGGGCCACUACUGACGCUGAGAAGCGAAAGCUAGGGGAGCGAAUGGG